GCAUUCGUGGUUUAGUGGUAAAAUUAACCGUUGCCAUUCAGCGUCGGUUAGCCCCGUGUUCGAUUCACGGCGGAUGCA